UGAGUCCACCGCCGGAUGUUGCCACGAC
rnacentral:sRNA from 1 species